CAGUUUUUACAAGUUGGAUAUAAAUAUUCAAUUAAUAUUCAAUUAUAUUUUGAUGCAUAUUAUUUUGGCAGCAUGUGUAUCGAAAUUGGACAUUGUGACUUUCAGACGUUUUGUCUGUGAGACAAACAACAGGGCACAUUAUCCUACCGCUUUUGUUUGAAGAGAAUCUUCCUUCCAGUCAACGCUGCUGGGCCUAAUUGUUAGAAAUAUAACAACAUUUAGAAUGCCAUCAAGAUCAAAUAUAAAAUGCAAGUUUGGGGAUGAUUUAGUAUUAACAGGAUCUGAGCUGCAGGUUUGAUUUGAAGUGAUUUAGUUAGCAUAGCAGCUAACGCCUUCUAGUUUCCCUUUGUUGUUAGCUUCAGUUCUGCUGCCUGGACCAGUCUUUACGAAGUCUUUACUAAGUCUUUACUAAGUCUUGACUAAGUCUUUACUAAGUCUUUACUAAGUCGUUCUUUGGGCUUGAAAUGGAUGCCUCAUUUGAUCAAGAUGUUGAUCGGGCAAAAACUUUCUGGGCCAAGGAGAAUGUGGACCACGUCUUCAAGAUCAUAUACAAGCACCUCAACCACCUGAGGGAAGUCCUGAAGAAGAAGACCGCAUCAGACAAAGAACAGGUUCAGGCAUUGAAGCUAUUUGACUGCCUGGAUUGGACGGUUCUGUCUCCUUCAGUGGACACCCCAGUGGUGCGGGUUGUUGUUGGUGCUGAUGAUGUACUGCAAAAUGAACUUGCCCACCAGAGCCCUACUUCCACACCUCCCUUGUCAGCCACUUCUCCUGCAGGCUGUGAGGAGCUGCUGCCUCCUCUGGAGCCCGCUCAGAUGCACUACCAUCUGCACGAGUGCUGCAAGACCUGCCUGCCUUCUUUACCUGACAUGUUCCAGUCCACACCGCCAUUCUGGGCUCAGAACCCGCUUAUGGCCCCGCAGCUUUGCAAUUUCAGGAGGAUUUUGGCCAAAAAAGAUCAGCAGGAAGAUUUUUUAACUGAGGAAGAACAUGAAGGCCACUGGGAUGUCAUUUAUAAAACUCCAUGUGGGCAAAGCCUCCGUAACCACGACGAUGUGAUGCGCUUUCUAUUGGCCACAGAGAGCUACGAUGUACUGCAGCUAGACUACUUCUCCUUCAACAUGGCCGUGCAGUUGGAUCCUUCUGAAGUGCAGAGUCCCCAGCUUCCAGAGAUAGACCUGAGUCGUGGCUCUGAGCCAACGCCAGUGGAGCUGUGCCUCGGCCCCGGCGAUACCCGGCCAGCUGAAUUCCGCUACAGGAAGGAACGAUGGCCGCACGGCUGCUUCUUGAGCCGCGGCCCCAUGUUUGAUGCCUGUUGUGACUGCCAGGACGGCUGCUUGGACGCACAACGCUGCGCCUGCAUCGCCAUGACGGGAGCUCAGCGCAAUUAUAACCAUCAAAGACUCACCGAGCCUUUGCCACUAGGGUUGUUUGAGUGUGGGCCGUGGUGCAGCUGUGAUCGUGCACGCUGCCAAAAUCAACUUGUGCAGAGAGGAAUCAGAGUCCGUCUUCAGGUGUUCUGGAGAGACCCUUGUGGCUGGGGUGUGCGUUGCCGUGACGACUUGGAUGUGGGGACUUUUGUGUGCAUAUUUGCAGGCGUGAUCCUGCAGAGAGCCCAGAGACCCAUCGAGCCUCCUCCUCCCAAACUGACCAGAGUGGAUUUGCCGUCAGAUGACGAGGUAGAGGUGGUAACGGAGUGGCUGGCACCCCCCGUACUGGAAGGGAGCACCUUGGAAACCCCUGCACCCACAUCGCCCCCGCUGCAUGUUCCAGUAAUCCAGAGACCCACGGAGGUCAGCGCACAUCCGGACAAAAAGACGGGGAAGAAGAUCUCUGCGAUGACCGCAAAUGCUGCUGGGAAUGGCAACAAGAUGGAGAGUCUGAAGAGUUUAAACAGAGUUACCAACCCUGGUGAUGUUUACUUGUUGGAUGCCACGAGGGAAGGAAACGUGAGCCGCUUCUUCAACUUGCCAGCCUAAUCUUUUCAUCCAGAACGUCUUCACUGACUCUCAUGACCCCGACUUUGCCAUCACCGCUUUCUUCACCAGCCGUGUGGUGAAGGCAGGCACGGAACUCACCUGGAACUAUUCUCCUGACACACACGUGCCACCCAAGCAUCAACAGGAAGUGGCGUGCAUGUGUGGCAGCAGUUGCUGUCGAGGCAGAUUCAUGAAGGAGAAUUUCCGUGACAUGGCUGCUUCUGGAUGUGGAGAUGCUUGUGAGCCCACUUGAUCAACACUCCUUGAUUCUACUACUUUUUGAAAUAAAACACUUUUUCCA